rnacentral:rRNA from 1 species
GCCCUGGCCGGGCGGUCUGCCUCACGGUAUGUACUGUCUGGCUGGGGCUUACCUCUUGGUGAGCUCGCAUGCCGUUUAUUCGGUGUGUGAGGGAACCAGGACUUUUACUUUGAAAAAAUUAGAGUGUUCAAAGCAGGCUUUUUCUUUGCCUGAAUAUCUUAGCAUGGAAUAAUAGAAUAG